GACGAACGCUGGCGGCGUGCUUAACACAUGCAAGUCGAACGGAGCGAAUGAAAGCUUGCUUUUAUGAGCUUAGUGGCAAACGGGUGAGUAACACGUAGACAACCUGCCGACAGGAUGGGGACAACAUUCCGAAAGGAAUGCUAAUACCGAAUGAAGCGGAGGAGAGGCAUCUCUCCUCCGUGAAAGAUGGCCUCUAUUUAUAAGCUAUCACCUGUCGAUGGGUCUGCGUCUGAUUAGCUAGUUGGUGAGGUAACGGCUCACCAAGGCGACGAUCAGUAGCCGGUCUGAGAGGAUGAACGGCCACAUUGGGACUGAGACACGGCCCAGACUCCUACGGGAGGCAGCAGUGGGGAAUCUUCCGCAAUGGGCGCAAGCCUGACGGAGCAACGCCGCGUGAGUGAAGAAGGUCUUCGGAUCGUAAAGCUCUGUUGAUGGGGACGAAUGUACGGAGUGCGAAUAGUGCUCUGUAAUGACGGUACCAUC
rnacentral:rRNA from 1 species